UCUGGUGACCUUGCGCCCACCCAAGGUUUCCAUGAGUCGCCAGAGGUUUUGGUCACUUGCCUGGAAAGCCUCGACCAAAGUGUGAGCUGCAUUUACUGACCAAAGAUCCUUUGCUACCGACCGCGCACACACACACACACACAAAUAUCGCGAAGGUGGGGGCCAGGGACAGCGGAGGAGCGCUGUCUGCGCGAUGAAGAGGAAGGUAAACGGCUGCUACAGAGCAUGGUCCUGAAAACCAAAGAUCCUCUUUGCUGAAAACUCCAAAAUGAGCCAAUCAAAAUGGCCGGUCAACGAAGGAGAUUGCCUUCGACUGCCUAAUUUCAGAAUUUCAACUGAGGAGAUCCAAAGAGUGAUUUGGAGAGAAGAUUUCAGAAAGGAAGAGUAGAUCAACAUCACGAUGGAAGUUAAAGUAAAAUGUAACAAUUGUAUGAGUAAUGUGAUCAUCCUUACAGCAGAAGAUAUAUCUGGUAUUGAAUCUAUGUUUACAUGUAUUUACAUUUGCAAGUCUUUCUUGUACUGGGUAACAGGAUCUUCCAGUUGCAUAAUGACAAUAUUCAAUCGGCUCCUCUGGCAAAAAAUCAUGAUUAUUACUAAAGCAGAAUUUAAUUAAACUGUAAAGUCUAGUCAAUCCAUUUAUAAAAGAUGUCUGCCUAG